rnacentral:rRNA from 1 species
GCCAGCCCGCUACAGAAACUUAAAGGAAGUUGACGGGGGCCCGGCACAAGCGGUGGAGCAUGUGGUUUAAUUCGAUGAUACGCGAGGAACCUUACCUGGGCUCAAAUGUAUGUUGACGUAUUCUGAAAGGGAUACUUCUUCGGACAAUAUACAAGGUGCUGCAUGGUUGUCGUCAGCUCGUGCCGUGAGGUGUCGGGUUAAGUCCCAUAACGAGCGCAACCCCUAUCAUUAGUUGCCAUCAGGUCAAGCUGGGGACUCUAAUGAAACUGCCUACGCAAGUAGUGAGGAAGGUGGGGAUGACGUCAAAUCAGCACGGCCCUUACGUCCAGGGCUACACACGUGCUACAAUGGUCGGUACAAAGGGUUGCCAAGCCGCGAGGUGGAGCUAAUCCCAUAAAACCGAUCGUAGUCCGGAUCGCAGUCUGCAACUCGACUGCGUGAAGUCGGAAUCGCUAGUAAUCGUGAAUCAGAAUGUCACGGUGAAUACGUUCCCGGGCCUU